GAUGAACGCUGGCGGCGUGCCUAAUACAUGCAAGUCGAGCGAACAGACGAGGAUCUUGCUCCUCUGACGUUAGCGGCGGACGGGUGAGUAACACGUGGAUAACCUACCUAUAAGACUGGGAUAACUUCGGGAAACCGGAGCUAAUACCGGAUAAUAUAUUGAACCGCAUGGUUCAAUAGUGAAAGACGGUUUUGCUGUCACUUAUAGAUGGAUCCGCGCCGCAUUAGCUAGUUGGUAAGGUAACGGCUUACCAAGGCAACGAUGCGUAGCUGACCUGAGAGGGUGAUCGGCCACACUGGAACUGAGACACGGUCCAGACUCCUACGGGAGGCAGCAGUAGGGAAUCUUCCGCAAUGGGCGAAAACCUGACGGAGCAACGCCGCGUGAGUGAUGAAGGUCUUCGGAUCGUAAAACUCUGUUAGUAGGGAAGAACAAAUGUGUAAGUAACUAUGCACGUCUUGACGGUACCUAAUCAGAAAGCCACGGCUAACUACGUG
rnacentral:rRNA from 1 species